rnacentral:SRP_RNA from 10 species
GCUGGCUGCAGUGGUGUUUCCCUGUGGUCUCAGCUACUCAAGAGGCUGGUGGGAGGAUCACUUGAGCCCAAGAGUUCUGGGCUGUAGUACACUAUGUUGACCUGGUGUUUGCACUAAGUUCAGCAUCAAUAUGGUGACCUCCUGGGAGUGGGGGACCAUCAGGUUGCCUAAGGAGGGGUGAACCAGCCCUGGUCAGAAACAGAGCAGGUAAAAACACCCGUGCUGAUCAACAGUGGGACUGCACCUGUGAAGAGCCACUGCAUUCCAGCCUGGGCAACAUAGUGAGACCCUGU